AGCAUAAGGGGACUCGUGUGUCACUAUGAUUUUCCAGACUGCACUUACGAUCCCCUCAGAGGCCUAGUAUGAGCAACAGGAACAGUCCUUGUCUGUGGACUUCAGUGCCUCAGGUCUGUCCUGCUCCAUGUGACCGCUACAAGCACGCUUCUUGUGCCUUCAGGGGAAACAUCUAUCUGCUCGGAGGUAGAAAAAAGCACUCCUUAAGGGAUUUCUGGAAAUAUAAUGUGGGUAAGUCAUCUUACACUGUGUAUCUUUUUUUUCUGUGAAUUUUCAGGUUCAUAUUAUAAGUUGAAUUUGUCAAAUAUUCUAAUCUGACACCAAUUUUUUGCAUGUCCAUGUUGCUGUCCUUAAUAAAGAUGUAUAUGUAAGUAAUCAGACCAGAACAGUUUAGGUAAAACUUAGUAAGUAUCUGAAUUAUUCAGGAGAUGGCAUGAAUAGUUAACUGUCUGACAAGUUCAGGGUGUAUUGUUUGUUGUUUCAGCACGUAAUGAGUGGAUCGAACUGGAUUGUGGGGGUGACCAGGCACCUGAGGAACUGGAGGAACAUAGCAUGGUGGCACAUCAGGGUGUGUUGUAUGUGUUUGGAGGUUUGAUAGAUUCGGCAUAUUCAAACUCAAAAUCACCUCUUUGGCCGUUUGACACAGGUGAAUCAAAAGCUCAAUAAAGUUUCAAUAAUUCAUAUUUUUAUUAAACUGUUCAGUUUAAAGAAACAUUAUGUGUGUAAAAUGAUUUUAAUAAUGCAUUGUCUUCACUGGCUUUUAAAUUCUGUUCUCUGCAGUUAAAGAGCGGUGGCUGCAUUUACAAGACCAAAGUUCACCGUCUCAGGAAAAAGACACUUGUAAACACUGUCAUGUGAUGCCAUCCAAUAGAAAGGGGCACAGCGCUGUUGUGAUGGAAUCCUCAAUGUAUAUUUAUGGGGGAUACAUUGAUAUGCGAGGGACCUCACAGGAAUUCUGGAGAUUAGACCUGGACACUGGGACAUGGUCUCUGUUGAGUAAUGCACCAGUAGGACCUGGACCAAGGCACAGUCAUUCUGCUAUGACCCACCAGGACUGUAUGUACCUGUACGGUGGCCUGCAAGGCCUAAAGGAACAGAGGGACUUGUGGAGAUGGAGCUUUCACAGCCAGGCCUGGAGCUGCAUCAGAGCAUCGUGAGUGAAUAGUAAUCUAGUCAAAACACAUCUCAAAUCAUCACAGUAAAGCUUCAUUUUAAAAUAAACUUUUAAAUAAUCCACA
rnacentral:lncRNA from 1 species